AGACUACAUAAACAGCAACUACUUUUUUUGUGGGAAUCAACAGCAACUACUUGACCAGGAUUUGGAGUAGUGCAUUGCAAAUCGAACUUACUGCGAGUUCCUGGAGGAGGGGCAGGACGGGCUCCUCGUCGGGGUCGGCGCCGCUGCCGGUCGAGGAGGAUGCGAGGGGCUUGGAGGAGUCGGAGGAGACGGCGAGCGGGGGACCCGGGCACCUUCCCCGCCAUAUGUGGGCAAGCAAGGGGCGGGAGUAGCCGGAGCACGAAGCCGCGGCGCGAGGGGCGAGGUCGGUGAAGAGAACGGCGACGGCACCGCAACGGGGGCGCGGGGGCGGCGGGGGUGGAGUCCGGCGGGGGUCGGGGCGGCGGCGUCGGGGCGGCGGCGUCAUUAAAAAAAAUCCCAGUCAACCUUCCACCGCCCCUCACACAGACUCUUCCCCAUUCUUCGCUCACUCCCUCCUCCUAAUCUCGCGAUCCCCAUCCACAGCCCGAGCUCUUUGGUGGCCGCCCCUCCCCUUCGUCAGUGAUGCCGGCGGACGCGCAUGCCCCUGCUCUGCCCUGCCCCUCCCCUUCAUCAGCACCGCCGGCGGGCGCACAAGCCCCUGCUCUGCCCACCCCUUCUUCCUAUUCGGUGACGCCGGUGCCCUCCCUCCUCUGGUGCGGAGGGGCGCUCGAGCUCGGCAUGCUCACCGGCGACGUCGGGGCCUUCCCUCGUGGUGAUGCACUCGCCCCCUCCUCCUGGCGAUGGCGGGCCUCUCAUGCUCGACAUGGUCGCCAGCGACGCCGCGCCACGAACUUCCCUCCCCCCUGCUCGGGACGCCAUGAAGGACCAGGAGCAGUUGCUGCUCGCGACCUCCAUCUUGAUUAGGACGACCACGAUGACCUCUGCGUGCUGUGCUGCUGCUCGGGACCCUCCCCCUGUGCUUCUCCUCGCUCGUCCUGGUCCAGAUUUUUUUUGUGAUGCAAGUAAUGGGGAAAUAUGAAAAACACAUGAUGUUGAUUGCUUUGAGCCCUUGUAUUAAAAGUUAAGUAAUGUACCCUUAGUGGCCGUGUUGGACAGGAGGGGCCAGAGAAGUGCUUCUGGUUGUUUGAAGAAUGUGAGUCUGACAUCAUAGGUUACCAUUUUAUGAAGAAACCAUCAAGGGAAGAAUUACACCUGGUCCGGGGUCCGUGCAGGGCGGGGGCGGCCGCACGGGUGUUGGGCGGGUUCGUGGGCACCGGCGAUCUGGCGGACUUCUGGCACACUGCGAGGGGGCAGGGCAGCCUCCUGGGCGCCCGCUACGUCGAUGGUGCAUGGAGGCGGCUGCAUGGUGGAGUGGCGCGAGGUGUUGGCGCGAUGGCGACGGAAGGCAGAGAGGGCCCUGCGCGAUUGGGCUAGGAGAAUCAAUAGUUGGAGGGAAGGCUUCCCUAGUCUUCUAGUGAAGCACGAUCAGUCAAUGGAAAUUGCUAGAUUCAUGGGACUAACCCUGCGGUGGUGAAUGGAGCGGCUGGUGUGCUGGGGGUAAUUGUGGGGUACACUUAAGAAAGAUCGUGUUGGAUUGUUUAA